rnacentral:rRNA from 1 species
CGGAGGGAGCGAACGUUGUUCGGAUUUACUGGGCGUAAAGGGUGUGUAGGCGGUCUUGCAAGUCAGGGGUGAAAUCUCUCGGCUCAACCGAGAAACUGCCUUUGAGACUGCAGGACUUGAGGGCGUGAGAGGAGACUGGAAUUCCUAGUGUAGCGGUGAAAUGCAUAGAUAUUAGGAGGAACACCAGUGGCGAAGGCGAGUCUCUGGCACGCAUCUGACGCUGAAACACGAAAGCCAGGGGAGCGAACGGGAUUAGAUACCCCGGUAGUCCUGGCUGUAAACGUUGGGCACUAAGUGUUGGCCGAUCGACCCGGCCAGUGCUGCAGCUAACGCGUUAAGUGCCCCGCCUGGGGAGUACGGCCGCAAGGUUG